rnacentral:lncRNA from 1 species
AAGAUCUCUCGCACAACUCAAUCUAGGGUUUUCUUUUUCUCUCUACUUUCAUAUGGAUCAUCCUCCGCCACCAAUCCAAAACCUAGAUCCUCAGCCCCCACCUCCUCCUGAAACCCUAAUUCCUUCCUAUCAAUACCCAUCUCCACCUUCCCAAUCCCUUGAUUCCUCCUUUCAAAACCCCUCCAAAACCCUUGCUUCAGAUCAUCCUGAUUCGAUUUCUCCAAAUUCUGAUUCUCAAAACCUCGCUAGUUUUUCCAAUAAUGGCCAGACCCAUUUCGAAGGGCCCAAGUUCGACCUCCAGAAGCCCUUGGUUUCUGAAAAUGGCGUCACCAACACCC